UACAAUUUGCCUUAUGAUGUUUGCAU
rnacentral:piRNA from 1 species